rnacentral:rRNA from 1 species
AGUUACGGCGAUACCACCCUGAACACAUCCGAUCCUGUCCAAUCUCAGAAGCUAAGCAGGGUCAGGCCUGGUUAGUACCUGGAUGGGAGACUGCCUGGGAAUACCAGGUGCCAUAAGCC